rnacentral:rRNA from 1 species
GAUUAACGCUAGCGGCAGGCCUAAUACAUGCAAGUCGAACGGCAGCACGGGUAGCAAUACCUGGUGGCGAGUGGCGCACGGGUGCGUAACACGUAUGCAAUCUACCUUUAACUGGGGAACAACCCCUCGAAAGAGGGGCUAAUACCGCAUAACAUCAUGAGGUGGCAUUAUCUUAUGAUCAAACUUACGGGGGUUAAAGAUGAGCAUGCGUCCGAUUAGCUAGUUGGCGGGGUAACGGCCCACCAAGGCAACGAUCGGUAGGGGGUCUGAGAGGAUGAUCCCCACACUGGUACUGAGACACGGACCAGACUCCUACGGGAGGCAGCAGUAAGGAAUAUUGGACAAUGGA